UUCACCGAAGUCAAGCAUCAUUGGGCGUGGUCAGUACUUGGGUGGGUGACCACCUGGGGAACACCGUGUGCCGU
rnacentral:rRNA from 1 species